rnacentral:rRNA from 1 species
AUUGAACGCUGGCGGCAUGCCUUACACAUGCAAGUCGAACGGUAACGGGCCUUCGGGUGCCGACGAGUGGCGAACGGGUGAGUAAUACAUCGGAACGUGCCCGAUCGUGGGGGAUAACGAGGCGAAAGCUUUGCUAAUACCGCAUACGAUCUACGGAUGAAAGCAGGGGACCGCAAGGCCUUGCGCGGACGGAGCGGCCGAUGGCAGAUUAGGUAGUUGGUGGGAUAAAAGCUUACCAAGCCGACGAUCUGUAGCUGGUCUGAGAGGAUGAUCAGCCACACUGGGACUGAGACACGGCCCAGACUCCUACGGGAGGCAGCAGUGGGGAAUUUUGGACCAUGGGCGCAAGCCUGAUCCAGCCAUGCCGCGUGCAGGAUGAAGGCCUUCGGGUUGUAAACUGCUUUUGUACGGAACGAAAAGCCUUCUUUUAAUACAGGAGGGUCAUGACGGUACCGUAAGAAUAAGCACCGGCUAACUACGUG